UAACACAUGCAAGUCGAGGGGCAGCAUGGUCUUAUCUUGCUAAGGCCGAUGGCGACCGGCGCACGGGUGAGUAACACGUAUCCAACCUGCCGUCUACUCUUGGACAGCCUUCUGAAAGGAAGAUUAAUACAAGAUGGCAUCAUGAGUCCGCAUGUUCACAUGAUUAAAGGUAUUCCGGUAGACGAUGGGGAUGCGUUCCAUUGGAUAGUAGGCGGGGUAACGGCCCACCUAGUCUUCGAUGGAUAGGGGUUCUGAGAGGAAGGUCCCCCACAUUGGAACUGAGACACGGUCCAAACUCCUACGGGAGGCAGCAGUGAGGAAUAUUGGUCAAUGGGCGAGAGCCUGAACCAGCCAAGUAGCGUGAAGGAUGACUGCCCUAUGGGUUGUAAACUUCUUUUAUAAAGGAAUAAAGUCGGGUAUGCAUACCCGUUUGCAUGUACUUUAUGAAUAAGGAUCGGCUAACUCCGUGCCAGCAGCCGCGGUAAUACGGAGGAUCCGAGCGUUAUCCGGAUUUAUUGGGUUUAAAGGGAGCGUAGAUGGAUGUUUAAGUCAGUUGUGAAAGUUUGCGGCUCAACCGUAAAAUUGCAGUUGAUACUGGAUAUCUUGAGUGCAGUUGAGGCAGGCGGAAUUCGUGGUGUAGCGGUGAAAUGCUUAGAUAUCACGAAGAACUCCGAUUGCGAAGGCAGCCUGCUAAGCUGCAACUGACAUUGAGGCUCGAAAGUGUGGGUAUCAAACAGGAUUAGAUACCCUGGUAGUCCACACGGUAAACGAUGAAUACUCGCUGUUUGCGAUAUACAGCAAGCGGCCAAGCGAAAGCGUUAAGUAUUCCACCUGGGGAGUACGCCGGCAACGGUGAAACUCAAAGGAAUUGACGGGGGCCCGCACAAGCGGAGGAACAUGUGGUUUAAUUCGAUGAUACGCGAGGAACCUUACCCGGGCUUAAAUUGCAGAUGAAUUACGGUGAAAGCCGUAAGCCGCAAGGCAUCUGUGAAGGUGCUGCAUGGUUGUCGUCAGCUCGUGCCGUGAGGUGUCGGCUUAAGUGCCAUAACGAGCGCAACCCUUGUUGUCAGUUACUAACAGGUUCCGCUGAGGACUCUGACAAGACUGCCAUCGUAAGAUGUGAGGAAGGUGGGGAUGACGUCAAAUCAGCACGGCCCUUACGUCCGGGGCUACACACGUGUUACAAUGGGGGGGUACAGAGGGCCGCUACCACGCGAGUGGAUGCCAAUCCCAAAAACCUCUCUCAGUUCGGACUGGAGUCUGCAACCCGACUCCACGAAGCUGGAUUCGCUAGUAAUCGCGCAUCAGCCACGGCGCGGUGAAUACGUUCCCGGGCCUUGUACACACCGCCCGUCAAGCCAUGGGAGCCGGGGGUACCUGAAGUGCGUAACCGCGAGGAGCGCCCUAGGGUAAAACUGGUGACUGGGGCUAAG
rnacentral:rRNA from 1 species